rnacentral:rRNA from 1 species
AUUGAACGCUGGCGGCAGGCCUAACACAUGCAAGUCGAACGGUAACAGGAAACAGCUUGCUGUUUCGCUGACGAGUGGCGGACGGGUGAGUAAUGUCUGGGAAACUGCCUGAUGGAGGGGGAUAACUACUGGAAACGGUAGCUAAUACCGCAUAACGUCGCAAGACCAAAGAGGGGGACCUUCGGGCCUCUGGCCAUCGGAUGUGCCCAGAUGGGAUUAGCUAGUAGGUGGGGUAACGGCUCACCUAGGCGACGAUCCCUAGCUGGUCUGAGAGGAUGACCAGCCACACUGGAACUGAGACACGGUCCAGACGCCUACGGGAGGCAGCAGUGGGGAAUAUUGCACAAUGGGCGCAAGCCUGAUGCAGCCAUGCCGCGUGUAUGAAGAAGGCCUUCGGGUUGUAAAGUACUUUCAGCGGGGAGGAAGGGAGUAAAGUUAAUACCUUUACUCAUUGACGUUACCCGCAAAAGAAGCACCGGCUAACUCCGUG